CGUCUAGUCAAUCAUUAUCUAAUAUUUCUGUGCUGUCCCCUGUGGCCCUGGUUCCCCAGACUCCAGGCAGACGCACAUGGCUGUCCCUCCAACCGACUCCCCGGGGCCGUACGCCCUUCACCCGCCCAGCGGGACAGUCCUUGCCCUCCCCUCUCCUGCCCCAGCUCGCAGCACCGUGCCCGGCGGAGUUUGCCCCGGGAGCAAGCGAGCCCCGCCAGCCCGCUGGCAUGCCCACCCGCACGCCGAGCUGUGCGCACGUGGACCACGGCUCCGUCUGUCUGGCUGCAACCCGGCCCCAGCAAACGGGUUGUCGACGCUUUGCGGCGCCGGCGAGCGGCACCCCGGCCGCUACCCCCGGUGCUGGGCCAGGAGGGACUCACCCUUCACCGCGCUCCUGCGGAUAACGUUCUCCGUCACCUGGAGCAUCAGAGAAGAGAGUCCCAGGGUUAAAGGUUGAAUCUCAUCCUGACCUCCUGCGAUCCCUGGUGGAAGCGAGUCUUGCUCAUCCCAGCUCUUCAGGAAAUACAGAAGCAUAGAAUUGUUUGGGUUGGAAGGGACCUUUAAAGGUCAUCCAGUCCAACCUCCUGCAACGAGCAGGGACAUCUUCACCUAGACCAGGUUGCUCAGAGCAACGUGACAGCCCCUUUCCUGAGUUACAGCGCCGAGCGUGAGGAGGAGGGGAGGCACAAGGACUCUCACAAGCUGCAGAGCACCGGGUAAAGA